UGUGGGUAGGGGUGAAAGGCCAAUCAAACUCCGUGAUAGCUGGUUCUCCCCGAAAUGCAUUUAGGUGCAGCGUCGCAGUGUUCGUGUCGGAGGUAGAGCUACUGGAUGGCCGAUGGGCCUCACAAGGUUACUGACGUCAGCCAAACUCCGAAUGCCGACACGGUGUAAUGCGGCAGUGAGACGGCGGGGGAUAAGCUCCGUGCGUCGAGAGGGAAACAGCCCAGAUCGCCGGCUAAGGCCCCUAAGCGUGUGCUA
rnacentral:rRNA from 1 species